UUUUAUUUUGAUAAUCCCUUGUUUAGUUUUCCUGUCUCUUGUAAUUGUAUAUCCUGUCCUGACUGGUUUCACCUGUGUCUCAUUGCCUUGCGUAUAUAAACCGUCUCACUCACACUCUUUGUCUCCAGUUUGUCCUGCAGUUCCAGUGUUUUCCUUGAGUCAUAUCACUGUUUUUGACCCUGCUUGUUGCCUUUGCCCUUUUGGAUGUGUUUGACUUUGGGAUUGCCAUACUGCUUCUUGAACCUUUUAUUCGGGACAUUAAAGACUGUUGUGUCAGCAGGCAGCGGGUGUUCAGAGAUGAAAAAGCGAGUGCUGAGAAGCGACUGAAGCGCCGCCUGAAGAGAAUCUUUGUAUCAGAAGGCAGUAACUUCUGACGACGGCGCUUCAGCUGAACUCUUGUGUCCUCUGCGUGGCUCCGAACGAACCUUCUGUUUCUACCACACUUGGUUCAGCCCUCCAGAAGACUCCUCCUCCACUUUUGGCUUCAUGAAUGCGACUCCAGCAUGGACGAGCGCAGAGGGCCUGGUCUCUCUGUGGUGCACAGUGUCAGCUUUCAUUGCAAAGUGUUGUUCCCUGAGUGACGGAAAAUUUCACGCCCAGCCGACUGCUGCGAAGGUGCUGCUUUUAAUAAACAGAAAAAAUCCUGCAGGG